UGGGGAAUUUUGGACAAUGGGCGAAAGCCUGAUCCAGCAAUGCCGCGUGUGUGAAGAAGGCCUUCGGGUUGUAAAGCACUUUUGUCCGGAAAGAAAUCCUUGGCUCUAAUACAGUCGGGGGAUGACGGUACCGGAAGAAUAAGCACCGGCUAACUACGUGCCAGCAGCCGCGGUAAUACGUAGGGUGCAAGCGUUAAUCGGAAUUACUGGGCGUAAAGCGUGCGCAGGCGGUUUGCUAAGACCGAUGUGAAAUCCCCGGGCUCAACCUGGGAACUGCAUUGGUGACUGGCAGGCUAGAGUAUGGCAGAGGGGGGUAGAAUUCCACGUGUAGCAGUGAAAUGCGUAGAGAUGUGGAGGAAUACCGAUGGCGAAGGCAGCCCCCUGGGCCAAUACUGACGCUCAUGCACGAAAAGCGUGGGGAGCAAACAGGAUUCAGAUACCCUGGUAGUCCACGCCCUAAACGAUGUCAACUAGUUGUUGGGGAUUCAUUUCCUUAGUAACGUAGCUAACGCGUGAAGUUGACCGCCUGGGGGAGUACGGUCGCAAGAUUAAAACUCAAAUGAAUUGACGGGGUCAUAGCUGUUU
rnacentral:rRNA from 1 species